rnacentral:rRNA from 1 species
GAUGAACGCUGGCGGCAUGCUUUACACAUGCAAGUCGAACGGCAGCACGGGUGCUUGCACCUGGUGGCGAGUGGCGGACGGGUGAGUAAUGCAUCGGAACGUGUCCUGAAGUGGGGGAUAACGCAUCGAAAGAUGUGCUAAUACCGCAUAUUCUCUGAGGAGGAAAGUAGGGGAUCGAAAGACCUUAUGCUUUUGGAGCGGCCGAUGUCUGAUUAGCUAGUUGGUAGGGUAAUGGCUUACCAAGGCGACGAUCAGUAGUUGGUCUGAGAGGACGACCAGCCACACUGGGACUGAGACACGGCCCAGACUCCUACGGGAGGCAGCAGUGGGGAAUUUUGGACAAUGGGCGCAAGCCUGAUCCAGCAAUGCCGCGUGAGUGAAGAAGGCCU